rnacentral:rRNA from 1 species
GUGUCAGCAGCCGCGGUAAUACGAAGGGGGCUAGCGUUGUUCGGAAUUACUGGGCGUAAAGCGUAUGCAGGCGGAUCGUUAAGUCGGGGGUGAAAUCCCGAGGCUCAACCUCGGAACUGCCUUCGAUACUGACGGUCUUGAGUCCGGGAGAGGUGAGUGGAACUCCGAGUGUAGAGGUGAAAUUCGUAGAUAUUCGGAAGAACACCAGUGGCGAAGGCGGCUCACUGGCCCGGUACUGACGCUGAGAUACGAAAGCGUGGGGAGCAAACAGGAUUAGAUACCCUGGUAGUCCACGCCGUAAACGAUGGGUGCUAGCCGUCGGCAAGUUUACUUGUCGGUGGCGCAGCUAACGCAUUAAGCACCCCGCCUGGGGAGUACGAUCGCAAGAUUAAA